GGGGAUAUAGCUCAGUUGGUAGAGUGCUUGCCUUGCAUGCACAAGGCCCUGGGUUCAAUCCCCAUCAUCAUCA
rnacentral:tRNA from 1 species